AUUGAACGCUGGCGGCAGGCUUAACACAUGCAAGUCGAGCGGAGUGAUGGUGCUUGCACUAUCACUUAGCGGCGGACGGGUGAGUAAUGCUUAGGAAUCUGCCUAUUAGUGGGGGACAACAUCUCGAAAGGGAUGCUAAUACCGCAUACGUCCUACGGGAGAAAGCAGGGGAUCACUUGUGACCUUGCGCUAAUAGAUGAGCCUAAGUCGGAUUAGCGAGUUGGUAGGGUAAAGGCCUACCAAGGCGACGAUCUGUAGCGGGUCUGAGAGGAUGAUGCGCCACACGGGGACUGAGACACGGCCCAGACUCCUACGGGAGGCAGCAGUGGGGAAUAUUGGACAAUGGGGGGAACCCUGAUCCAGCCAUGCCGCGUGUGUGAAGAAGGCCUUAUGGUUGUAAAGCACUUUAAGCGAGGAGGAGGCUCUUUUGGUUAAUACCCAAGAUGAGUGGACGUUACUCGCAGAAUAAGCACCGGCUAACUCUGUGCCAGCCGCCGCCGUAA
rnacentral:rRNA from 1 species